GACGAACGCUGGCGGCGUGCCUAAUACAUGCAAGUUGAGCGCUGAAGGUUGGUACUUGUCCCAACUGGAUGAGCAGCGAACGGGUGAGUAACGCGUGGGUAAUCUGCCUUUGAGCGGGGGACAACAUUUGGAAACGAAUGCUAAUACCGCAUAAAAACUUUAAACACAAGGUUUAAGUUUGAAAGAUGCAAUUGCAUCACUCAAAGAUGAUCCCGCGUUGUAUUAGCUAGUUGGUGAGGUAAAGGCUCAACAAGGCGAUGAUACAUAGCCGACCUGAGAGGGGGAUUGGCCCCAAUGGGAAUGGGACACGGCCCAAACCCCCACGGGAGGCAGCAGUAGGGAAACUUUGGAAAUGGAGGAAAGGCUGACCGAGACACGCCGGGGGAGGGGAGAAGGGUGUCGGAUCGGAAAAAUCUGUUGGUAGAGAAGAAAGAAGGUUAGAGUGGAAAGCUCAUCAAGUGACGGUAACUACCCAGAAAGGGACGGCUAACUACGUG
rnacentral:rRNA from 1 species